rnacentral:tRNA from 1 species
GGCGGCACAGUGCAGUGGGUAGCACUGUCACCUCACAGCAAGAAGGUCCUGGGUUCGAAUCCCCCUGUGUCCG